CAGGGAAUCUUCCACAAUGGACGCAAGUCUGAUGGAGCAACGCCGCGUGAGUGAAGAAGGGUUUCGGCUCGUAAAGCUCUGUUGUUAAAGAAGAACGUGGGUAAGAGUAACUGUUUACCCAGUGACGGUAUUUAACCAGAAAGCCACGGCUAACUACGUGUCAG
rnacentral:rRNA from 1 species